UGUAUACCGCUCUCUGUCGAAACAUGGGUGUGCUAAUUGUGUGCCUCUGUCCAUCAAUCGCUCUGUCUACUGUUGUUACUACUACUACUAUUACUGUUACUUACUAUUACUCAUACUACUAACCUUGCGUUUACUAAAUCUUCAUCUGCUGUGUUGAUAUUAACACGAAUCGUGUGUGAUUUGUGUAUCGAUGUGAAAAAACAAAAAAAAAACAAAACAAAACCAAAUGACGCGCGCGACGCCGCUGAGGAUCUCUGGUGUCUUGCUGCCGCGGGGAUGCUCUGCUUCUUCUCUUCACUCGCCGAGUAUGUGUACAUAAAUGUAACGAAAUUGUUCCCUCUCCCCCCCUCUCGCCCUCUCGAUGAGCAAUCUGUCAACCCGAAUCCCUUUGUCCGAAUCCUACGAAUCCCCACGUGCGGUGUAGGGUGAAAUGGUGGACCGCAUUGAGUACUGGGUGAAUCAAACCGGCGACCACGUGGGCCAGGCCCGGGGCGAGCUGAUCGAAGCCGAAGAAUAUCAAAGAAAGUCUCGUAAGAAAUUGUUCCUGAUAACGAUCUGCGUGACGAUAGCGGUCAUCAUUCUCAUUAUUAUUCUGGCUGUUAGUUUAAGUUAGUCGAAAUGUGACGCGGGAAGAAGCGAACACACGCGGAAAACAAAAUACACGCAUUCUUUGCAAGUUUACCGAUAGAAGGGAAAAAAACAGAAAAAAAAAA